rnacentral:lncRNA from 1 species
CUUCGCAUUGUUCGUCGCCGGCAACGCUAACCGCCACGCAGAGUCAGCAAAAUUAAGACAAGCUGAUUUACCGCGAAGUGCCAGUGCGGCAACGUCGUGUGCACGUGCUGCCAUCUCAGGUGUUGGAUAUGUUCCAAGCCAAAUCCUCGUGGACUUGUCGUUAGGAACACGCACUUCACAAACCCACUUGUUGUUGUUGUUGUUCCUUCUUCGUACUCCUCUGUAUACUGGAUGUCUUGUCUCCUUGAAUUUUCGUCGACCCGCACGUUUCUUUGGUUGUUCUGAUGCUAACAAGAUUUCUGAUGAAGAAGAGUUGUUCUCUACGUAACUAGACUCAUCAAGUGAUGAUUUCAUUUGUGGGGUGUAUGUAGUAGUACUAGUAGUAAAGUAGCUUAUGGUUUAUGCGAAAUUCAGUGCUGAAAUUGACUUAAGAGUUAGGGAAGUAUAUAUAGUACUAUGUAUGUAGCUUUUAAAUGUUUAUUUUAAGAGUUUGGGGGAAAUUAAUGCACGUGACUACGAUGUGUACACGAACACGGGAACAGUUGGCUUUUGUUUUUUCUUGUGGGCCAGUGUAACGGGCGGCCCACGGUUAACAUUUGAUUUUCGCUAGUUCCAAUUUCUAACUUUGCUAGCAUUUCUUGGGAGUACUCUCAUCAAAGAAAAUAAAAAAAAAACAUUUCUUGGGAGGAAGAUUCACUGAACCAGAGUCUGAAAACGUGUUUGUAUACUUAACGAAACGAUGUCAUCGUGUUGUUAGUGAAGUACUAAAUAUAAAUAGGAGUAAAGGCAAGUGUGUUUGCAAUUUGUAUUGGCACUGACUAACUAUGAUCAAGGCUAUUAGUUUAUUGAAGGAAAAAAAAAUUAUAUUAAAAAACAGCUUUUGAAUUUGGAAGAUAUUAAAUGCUUAAUUUUUAAGAUAAAUAUUUAUAAUUUAGUUUCUUAGCAUGUCUUUGUUAGUCAACAUGCCUUAUAAGUUAAUAGCCAUUAAAAAAAUAUAUAUAGUGAGCAAGUCAACAUGCCUUAUAACACUUCCUCAAAAAAAAAAAAAAGCCUUAUAACAUAACCUUUUUCAAAAUAAAUUCGAUACUAGUGAUUAGUAAAACAUUAUCCGACCCUAAUUUGUAAAGAGAAACUAUACAUUCUCUCGGACUCCUCUCUUCUUCAUCCAACAAAGAGACAUGAUUUUAAGUUAUAUCUUUGACCCGAAAUCCUCAUUUUUUGUUCGUUUAUCUUAAAUUCAUAGAACAACUUCAAUUAGUUUUUAUUUUUUGUUUGUUAUCUCCGACUCCGAUCCUCUCUUUUCUUUCAACGAGCUUUUUGUCAUAUAUAAUAUUGUUCUAUUUUCCCUUUCUACAUGGCCAUUAUUUUUAGAGUAUAGGAAGCGAUGAUUGAUCUUAAAGUCUCAUUUAUUAUACAACAUCACUAGGGAUGUAGAUGGAUAUCCAUGGAUGCGGAUAGUGUGAUGUAUAUCCGCUCCGUUUGAUAAAUAUGAAAUUUGUACUCUAUCCAUAUCUGCGCGUUUUACAGGUAAUCUAUAGAUUUUGAGAUAUCCGCGGGGUUUAUACAGAUAUUCAUGGAUAACAUUAAUAAAAAUAAAAUUGUUAAUUUUUUUUAGCUGAAAUUUAAAAACAAAAGUUCAUAACAUGCAUUUUCUUUUCUUUUUAGAAAAGCAUAAUAUACAUACAUUACAAUAACAACAAAGUUCAUUGACUCAACAAAAACAUAAAUAAAGAUCCUUACAUUUAAUAAAAAUAAAGUUCUUUAAUUUAACAAAAGCAUAAAUAAAGGUUAUCAUAUUCAACAAAAACAAAGCUUAUUGCUUCAACGAUCCCGACCACUUUCACUUCCUUUUAAAGAAGUGUAAUAUAAAUUUGAACAAUCAUGUAAUAAGUAAUAAUACUCACAGGACCAAGGUGUUUUACUUAGGAAGUUGAAAGGUAUUAAGGAUAUUUAUGUAAUUUACUUGGUUUAAUAGCGAGUAUGGAUAUUCGUGGGUGCGGAUAUCAUUAAAUCCACAUUCAUAUUCAUUAAUUAGUUGGUAGUUAAAAUAUCUGUUUAUUUUAUUCAUUGAUAUCCAUUAAGGUAUCCGCUCUGUGUCUGUGGCUCGCGGAUAUCGAUGGGUGCAAAUUUUUUUGCCACCCCUAAACAUGACCUUUCGAAUCAACAUGAAUUAUGCUGAAAUUCAGUGUUUUAAAAUUGUAAUAUCAAAUGAGAAGGUUGCAUAUGACAUUCCAAGAUUGGUCAUUUAAACUUUUAUAAAUCAUUUUAAAACCAAAAAGGUGGUGAUUGCAUUGCUAAUUACCAAAAAGAGGUGGAGUCUUUCAAUAGUUAGAGACUAGAAGAAAACAAUCAAUGAUGACUCCUGGAUAUAUGGAAAGGAAGAAUAUUGUUGCACCAAAGUGGUACAACUAUAGAGAGCUCAUGUGUUAUGCUCUUACCUAGGCUGAAUACGUGUAAGACUCGGAACGGAGGACCUUUGAGAAAGCAAUUGAGAGCAAGGAAAGUAAGAAUUUGAAACUUGUGGGACUAUCUUAAAAAAAAUUCAAGGGUAGUUGCAUUCAAGAAAAUCUUCAGUAUUAUGGAAUGCGUUCCAAGGGUUAAAGAGGUAAUGAUACAUCUUAUGGCAAUAUUAAGGAUAGCUUGAUUCAAGCGGAUCUUCAAGCAUAGAUCAGUUAUCGAGUUAAAUACUUAGUAAUCAAUUCGGAUAGGUGGUGGUAAGAAUACUCAAUUUCAACCUAUAGAGACGGUUGUAAGAAUACACAAUCUCAACUUGGGGGGGGGGGGGGUAAAAUACUCAACAACACUCUGAAAAGAUAGUGGUAACAAUACUCAUCAUUAGUUUGGAAGCGGAGUGCUACAGACACUCGGUAGGAUUGGUGAGAGCAACAAAAUGUUUGGUGGAUAAAUUUGUUUCAUCGUUGUUUUGAAGUCAAGGUGGUGACGUAAUUACGGGUUGUUUAGUAUAUAACGAAUUAUUCACAAAUAGAGUUAUUGCCUUGUUGUUUGGCAUCAUCAAAAUGAAUAAAAUAUUAGGAAUACUUGAGCGUUAAGGAUUGAGAGCUUUUGGGUGAGAAAUUUGGGUCCGAAAACACAUUAAACAUCUUAGAUAGAGAGAUUUCUUAAGUAAAAUGAUUCAAAUUUUCUCUCUUGUCUUCUUGAGCAUCUUCUCAUGAGUUGAGAUAAGCAACACAAAAGGAUAGAAAUUGAGGUGGAUUGUUGAAAGUAAUUUUUUGUAGCUCUUUUGUAUUUAUAAAAAUUAAUUGAUAGGAGAUUGAAGAAUUGCUCUCUUCUCUUGACUUAAGUCUUAAUUUAGAUCAAAUUGAAUAAACAAUCUUGAUUUGGUUGUUCUUUUACUAUUUUUAUCUUUGUACUUUGCUUUGAUUAUGAUUUAUUAUAUAUACACUUAGGUUAGGUUGCUAAUUUAUCUACUUUGUUUCAAAUUCCCAACAUCAAAUGUUAGAAGUUAGAAACAAACACCCUAUGAGAGAUAAAAAAAAAAAAAGUUUUAAUGUGAGAUGAGAAUGUUCACCUCACUACUUAAUUUAUUUAUGUUUUUAGUACAACAACACUAUUCAAUUUUAUUAUUUACGUCACACGUUUAUACCGUCAAUGUAACAGUUUGUAACUAACUUCUAACAACUAAAACAAGAAUGAGAACACACCUCUUCACCAGUAGUUACCUAAAGAAAGAGCUUACCAAACCAUGUAUUGGAGCUAAGAAGAAACGAAAACGAUGAGUUUGAAAGAUAGGUGUCGACCAUUCAUGAUAAUUUGGUUACUGUCAAAGUUUGUAGCAUUUAUUUUCAGCUUAUCGCUAAUUAAAUCGAUUCCCUAGCUUAGAGAAAAAUCGUAAGUGGCCCUACUUUGUUUGAUUCUCUCGUAUAAACCCAAGACCACGUAUGUUUUUUAUUUAAAAAAAGGUUUUUUUUUCUAGAUUACCUUUGAAGAAUGGUGGGUAAUUUACCCACCAACCAAUAAAAAUGAGUAAUUUGUUGGUGGGGUCAAGAUUAGGGGUGUUCGCGGUGCGGUUUGGUUCGGUUUCAAGCAUAAUAAUCAUUCAAACCGCGAGAGAAAAAAGCAUGCGGUUUGGUUUGGUUCGGUUGAUUUUUAAAAAGUCAUCCAAACCAAAUCAAACCAAACCAAUGCGGUUUGGAUUGGUUCAGUUGAUGCGGUUAAUCGCGAGAUAAAUAAAAAAAUUACAUUAACUCUAAUAUUGCCAACUAGUACCAAACAAUUUUAAUUAUUCAAAAAAAGAACUUGAAGUCCAAAAUAACAUUACAAUACCAAUAAAAGUUAUUUAUCUAAAAUAACAUUACAGUACCAAAAUAAUAUUUAAGAACCAAAAAAGAACAACUUGGGCUUGGGUUUGGGUUCACUUUGGUAUUGGGUUAGUACAGUACUUACUUAGUUUAAUAACAUUGAGUAUUUUUGCGGUUUGGUUUGGUUUGGUUCGGUUGCUGAGAUGCAAACCGCAAACCGAACCGAACCGCACGGUUCAGUCUAAAAGUCAUCCGAACUCAUCCGAACCAAGUGCGGUUUUUUGCGGUUUCGGUUUGGAUUGGUUCGGUUUGCGGUUUUUCUAUUGGGUUGGUUCGGUUUUGAACACCCCUAGUCAAGAUAGUUCAUAGAUACCACUUAAAAAUGUGGCUAAUGUGUAUUGAUUAGGGUAAAUUAUCCACCAUUCUUCCAUGGGUAUCUUAGUUGUCACCUUAAAAAAAAAAAACGUACAUUCUCACUUUUUUGUGUGCAUGCAGAGCACAGUAUCUUUAUAAGUAAAUUAAUAAGAAAAAUGAUAGUUAUAUAAUGAUAUUUGGCACAAUAUUUUCUUUGUCUUCUUUUAAAAAAACAAUAAGAAUACAAUGAAAAUGUAAAAGAUAAUUGUUUUUUUUUUUUUACAAGAUAAAAGAUAAUUGUAUUAAAAUAAUUGUAUAAAUAUUAUUACAUCAAUUGUUUGGCUGUAACUCUCUUACGGUCUUACCAUAUAUAUUUUCCCAUAUGACUCCCAUGUGUUCAAAAGAAAGAGGAAAAUCCAAGAUUGCAACCAAAACCAUCAAACAGAUGAAAGGUUUAAUCAACAUCAAUCAGUAAUUGUUGACUAAAUUUCUUACUUUAUCUUGUCUCCAAUUAUAAACGGGACCACAUGAAGUUUUUUUUUCUGAUUAUAAUUUUCAAUUUAGUAUUCGUCAAAAAAGCUAAUAUUCAUCUUAUAAGAUGAAUAAGUGGGAUGUUCAGGAUUUAAAUUCUGGCCUCUGCAUAUAAUAAUGCAUUGUCCUAUCAACUGAGUUAAAUUUAUGGGACAAAAAAAAAAAUUGAAUUUAGUAUAGCUUUUUUUUUUUGAAGGAAUUUAGUAUAGCUAUAAUGAUAUUCAUUAGUACAUUUUCAGAUGAAUAAUAAUACGGUUGCACAUUUUCUUUAAUUUUUCUUUACACCACUCUGCCGAUAAGAAUGUAUACAACUUCUCUUCAAAAAAUAAAAAAAAGAAUGUAUAUACAACUUAUUUGCAUAUUGAUGAUGAAAUUCUAACCAAUAUUACAUCUAAUCAAGUCAAAUUGGACUUAUAACUCUUAAAAAAUAUUGUUGUAGUACUCUUAUGUGUGGUCAAAAGAUUCACACACACAUAAAAAAUAAAAAUAGUAUAAAAGAAGAAAGAAUUAAAAUAUGUGUAGUUUUAAAAUAAUUUUAUGAUAAGUAUUUCUUUUUUUGCUGUGACCACAUAUUUCUUAUUUGGGGUUGUGAGUACUCUUGAUGAAAUUACAAUGAAACCUUUACCUAAGUAGUUCUAGAGUUAGGUAGAUGUACACUUUAAGGAAUAAUUUCUUUAUGAAUCCUAACACCUAACUUUUUCUUUUAAAAUAAUUGAAUUAUUGUAUGUGUUUUUUUUUAAAGAACUUGUGUAUGUGUUGUUGAAAAUAAAUGAUUGUGAAUUUAAUAUAAAAAUGAUGAUAAUUAAAGUCAAGCAUUUGCACAAAAAUUAUUCAUACACUAAAUCAUGUAUGCUCCUUUUUUUUAUAUAUACUAAGUCUUCACCUUUUAAAGUGAAUAAGUGAGGAAUCCAUGAUUUAAAUCCCAAUUCUUGCAUAUUAUUAUCAUGCAUUGUUGCUACCAAUUAACAUUUGUUCACGGGAACAAUUAUGAUAUAUGCUCCUUAAAUAUAUAUAUAUAUAGGGCAUAUCACAUGAGAAUGACUAACUUAUGUGAGAAUGGUAAGAAUAAAUUGCAGCCGUCGGAUUAAAAGCAAUAGGUGAGAUUAAAACACCACUUAAGUCACUCAUGUGACCAUUCUCUCCCUCUUUUCCAUCAUUCGCGCGCGCUUCUUCAUUCAUGUGUGUCACUGAUUUUUCUUCUCCCUCUCUGCUGAGUUUGGGGUUCCACUUCAUUGAUUCUUGUAUACCUUCUUUCUUAUAUGGUGUUAUGUUACAUCCUUGCAUGAAUACAAGAAAAAUCAAUUGACACACAUGAAUGAAGAAGAUAUCUUUUAGCAAUCCACAGCUUAAAGUGUGAUUAUCCACUUUUUAGUUAUAACUUGUUAAAAUACAUCUUCAUAAAAUGUGUGUUCUAGUAAAACCAUAUAUAUAUAUAUAUAUAUAUAUAUAUAUAUGUGUGUGUGUGUGUGUGUAUCAAGUAACUUUUUCUUUAGUAAAAAGAAGAUGAUGUUUUGUUUUAUGGGUUCUUAACAGAUAUCUUUAACUGUGAUAACACCCAAAAUGACACACUCACUCAUGUUGGAUUCCAACAGGAGGCAAAUCCAAAAUUAAAACCUUCAUUAUCAAUAAUAUAAAAGCAAUGAUAAAAGUCAAAAAUAAAACGUUGCUUCAGUACAUAUAUUAUCAUUCCGCAACCAACACGCUUUUGAUAACAUUUGCAUCGCAAUCGAUAGUCUUCUCUAUAUAUGCAUAUCCAUUAUAGUAAUUUGCUUUGUCUUGGUGUUCACAGUUUGAUCUUUUUGUCUCAAGCUUCUACUUUUUGUCGGGUACACUUUACUUACACACUUUACUUUGAACAUCAUUAAUCAGGCAUAUACUAUAAAAAUAACAAAAUUAAAUUAAGAACUUAGAAAUAUAACUUAAAUACUAUUUGAACAUCAUUAAUCAUACAUGCAUUUUCCUACUCCAUUAUAUAUAUAAUAAUUUAAUUACUUUGAUUGGUUUCUAGGAUUAGGAAAGAAAAAAGAUCGAGCUUAUAAAUAUAAUUAUAUGAUAUAUUUUAUAUAUAGAUGGAGAGAUCAAUAGUAGCUCCACAAACUUUCUCCCGAAGUGUAGUAUUCAGGCAAGUACUCAGACGGUGGUGGAUUCAUUCUGGGAGGAGAAAGCAACAUACCCUCAGCCAUUUCUACCAUCAAUCUUGGCAUUGAGAAUAUAGCUUCUUCAUCAAGAAACUCAGUUUCAUACCAAGGCCUACCAUUUAAGCCAGCAUCAUUAUUAACGGCUUCAGCCGCCGUUAACUCAGCUGCAGCUGUGGCAGCACUGCGGAUAUCAUCUGGUGAAUUAGACGCAGGCACCGGGUACUUGCUAGCUGAAUUAGGGAAGUUUAGAACAGCAUCCCCGCCUUUGAGGGCCAAAGUCGCGACAUCAUAAGCCGCGGCUGCCAUCUCAGGGGUAGGGAAUGUGCCUAGCCAUAUGCGGUUGGUCUUACGAGGCUCGCGGAUUUCAGUCACCCAUUUUCCUCCUCGGCUCCUAAUUCCGUGGUAUGUUGGGUGUCUUUUGGAAGAAGAAGAUG